GCAGAUAAGGAAGGAGAAUUGGUUCACCAACACCCUGAUGUGAAAAGUGACGAACCCUAACUGAGCACAUCAAUGAAAUUCAAAAUUAGGUUAUGGGUUGUCAAGACUAUCAAAGCAAGCAAAGCUCUUGAGAUUGAGGAUCCUUAGAGUUGGUGACAAUAAGAUUGUUGGUGUCAUGAAGGAAGGAAGAACGGCAACAUUUAAAAUCAACACCUACUGAGGGGUGUUUGGGCGUUACCGGGUCAAGCUAAUGACGUUAAAGAACCGCUACCUGGUGGCAACCCAGUUUCUAACCCCGUUUCUGAAUCUUUUUCUUUUCUUUUAUUUUAUUUUAUUAGAUUUUAUUUUAUUAGGGUUAUGUGCUGCUUUUGAUGGUAGUGAUGAUAGCAUCUACUGAUGGAUGCUUCUACAACAUCUACUGAUGGGUGUUAGGUGAUAUGACAUUUACUGAUGGAUGCCAAUGAGGAUUAGAAAGAUUAGCAUUUACUGAUGAAUGCUACUGGGAUAGCAUCUACUG
rnacentral:lncRNA from 1 species